rnacentral:rRNA from 1 species
UACGGGGGGGGGCAAGCGUUGUUCGGAAUUACUGGGCGUAAAGGGCUCGUAGGCGGCCAACUAAGUCAUACGUGAAAUCCCUCGGCUUAACCGGGGAACUGCGUCUGAUACUGGAUGGCUUGAGUUCGGGAGAGGGAUGCGGAAUUCCAGGUGUAGCGGUGAAAUGCGUAGAUAUCUGGAGGAACACCGGUGGCGAAGGCGGCAUCCUGGACCGAUACUGACGCUGAGGAGCGAAAGCGUGGGGAGCAAACAGG